UACGGAGGGUGCAAGCGUUAUCCGGAUUCACUGGGUUUAAAGGGUGCGUAGGCGGGUAGGUAAGUCAGUGGUGAAAUCCCGGAGCUCAACUUCAGAACUGCCAUUGAUACUAUCUAUCUUGAAUAUUGUGGAGGUAAGUGGAAUAUGUCAUGUAGCGGUGAAAUGCUUAGAUAUGACAUAGAACACCCAUUGCGAAGGCAGCUUUCUACGCAUAUAUUGACGCUGAGGCACGAAAGCGUGGGGAUCAAACAGGAUUAGAUACCCUGGUAGUCCACGCCCUAAACUAUGGAUACUCGACAUAUGCGAUACACUGUAUGUGUCUGAGCGAAAGCAUUAAGUAUCCCACCUGGGAAGUACGUUCGCAAGAAUG
rnacentral:rRNA from 1 species